rnacentral:rRNA from 1 species
UACGUAGGGUGCGAGCGUUGUCCGGAAUUAUUGGGCGUAAAGAGCUCGUAGGCGGUCUGUUACGUCUGCUGUGAAAACCCGGGGCUUAACCCCGGGCUUGCAGUGGAUACGGGCAGACUAGAGGCAGGUAGGGGAGAAUGGAAUUCCCGGUGUAGCGGUGAAAUGCGCAGAUAUCGGGAGGAACACCGGUGGCGAAGGCGGUUCUCUGGGCCUGACCUGACGCUGAGGAGCGAAAGCGUGGGGAGCGAACAGG